rnacentral:rRNA from 1 species
CCCGGUGAAUUUUUAACGGCCGCAGUUGAGAGCUGUGCUAAGGUAGCGUAGUAAGUUGUCCUUUAAAUGGGGAAAGGAAUGAAUGGUUUGACGUGAGAGUCCCUGUCUCUAGUAGAAUAAAAAAAAUUUUCUUCUUGGUGAAAAGCCCAAGAUACAAGUAAAAGACGAGAAGACCCUUUCGAGCUUGAUUAAGUGAGAAAUUAGUUUUAAGCGGAAGUUUGGUUGGGGCAACCUGGGAGCAAAACAAGACUCCUAGUUGAUUAUGAGGAUCCAAAAGUUUUGAAAAAAGAAAAAGCUACCGUAGGGAUAACAGCGUUAUCUUUCCUGAGAGAACAUAUUGAAGGAAAG